rnacentral:lncRNA from 1 species
UGUAUCCUCAGGAGUUUGCACCUUAUCUGCCUAACACAGAUUGGAGGUUCAAGAAAUACUGUAUCUGGAGUUCCUGUCGUGGUGGAGUUCCUGUCGUGGCGCAGUGGUUAACGAAUCUGACUAGGAACCAUGAGGUCGCGGGUUCGGUCCCUGCCCUUGCUCAGUGGGUUAACGAUCCGGCGUUGCCGUGAGCUGUGGUGUAGGUUGCAGACGCGGCUCGGAUCCUGCAUUGCUGUGGCUCUGGCGUAGGCCAGUGGCUACAGCUCCGAUUCCACCCCUAGCCUGGGAACCUCCAUAUGCUGCGGGAGCAGCCCAAAGAAAUAGCAAAAAAUAAAAAAAAUAAAUAAAAAAUAAAAAAAUACUGUAUCUAUAAGACAGAGACAGAGAGGGCCCGUUGUGUCUCAGUGGGUUAAGAACCUGACUCAUACCCAUGAGGAUGCAGGUUCGAUCCCUGGCCUCACUCAUUGGGUUAAGGAUCUGGCUUUGCUGCCAGCUGUGGCUUAGGUCUCCGAUGUGGCUCAGAUUUGGCAUUGCUGUGGCUGUGCUGUGGCUGUAGCUCCAAUUCAACCUCUAGCCUGGGAACUUCCAUGUGCUGUGAGUGUGGCCCUAAAAAAGACGCCCCCCCCCAAAAAAAAAGAGAGAUGGGAGGAAGGGAGGAAGGAAGGAGGAAAGAAAGGGAGAGAAGAGAAGAAGGGGAGGAAAGAGAAGGAAUGAAUGAAUGAUGGAAGGAAGGAGCCUUUUUAACUUUCCGCCACUCUGAGAUUUCCAUCUCCAACUUGCAGGGACUUGCUUGAGGAAACUACCAGGUGACUUGAGUCAAGAGGCUUUAAAGACAUUUGGCGUAUUUCUAACAGUGUCAUGUUGGAGAAGGUUCUUUAGAAGGUUCUCCAGCCCAUUUGGGAAACUCCACGUAGCCCAUCAACCUCCCGCCAUCAAUCGCACCAACUAUAAAUUUCAUCCUGGGAAGGAAAUGUGCCUUGAGGGUUUCAUUCAUCUUCUAUGCCAGGUAACAAAUUGCUACAAAAGUAGUGACUUCAAACAACACACGUUUAUUAGCUCACAGUGCUUCAG